UGUCCAGUGAAAGGACUUCAUUUUUGAAAGCACAUCCUGCACAGAAACUUCUACACAGAAGAGGAUGGAAGAAAGAAAACUGAACCUAGAUUCUGAAGUAAAACCCACCGUGUUUGCUGGAGCUGCCAUGAAUCAUGAGCAAAUCACAAAAACAUUUUAAAAGAAAACCCAACAGUAAUGAACAUGAACACAGCGACGGCUCUCGUGAUCAGCUCUGACACUUUAAGGCUGAGAUGUGAAGUGAGCCAUGGGAACAGAGGAACAGCUGCAGUUCCCGGGCUGUGGGAUCCAUCAUCCCCUUGCGUGUCUUGGUCCAUGGGCAAGGUCCUAACAAGAAGUUGCAUCUGUUUCACAUGA
rnacentral:lncRNA from 1 species